GCUAACGUGUUUAGGGUUGCCAUGACAACAGUCAAACUUUGUCAGAGCAAUUCACCCAUUGAGUUCCUUUAGCGUCAGCUAGCUGAGCUGACCCUAGAGGCUCUUUUACCACACAUCCCGGCAGGAGAGCAGGAAGAAACUGAGGGGAAGGUCUGGUAUAUUCAACAUUUAAUUUAGAAAUUGUUGGAUUAUUUAUCCUGUGUUCUUUUCCAUUUGUGUGGAUGCGCAUAAUGAAUGUUAUGGAAACACUUGAACUACAGUAUCUAUAGACAGUGCAGCGCAUAGUUUGAUUUCAUAUUAUCACUAUACCUGGCAUGGAGCAUUAGACAAUUGCACAAUAUAAGUUAUUAUAAUAAUAAUUUCCAAUGGACAAAUGGGUUUAUUUGUUAAGAUUAUGUUGUUCAAUACUGCAAUAAAGUUAUGCGUAGAUCAUGUAAAGGUGUAAGAUAAUUUUAGCAAUCUGGAUCAACUUAAGAUCCUACACUUGUAGGACUCCAAGUUGGAGGCCUACAUGGUGAUAUGAUUUUAACCAUGUCGUCUAAUAGUCUAAAACCCAAAAGUGACUAUUAACUAACUCCUCUGCGCUUUAAGAUGUGUGACACUCAGAAUCUCCAGCCAGUUGAAGUAGUGGACCCUGAGGUGGAUGAGGGGUCCGGCAUCCCCCCAGUGGAUAAGGUGGAUCCAGGGGAGGAAGUGUCCAAUCCUCCCCCAGAGGAAAGCCUUGAUGCUGGGGAGACGAUGCAGGACAGCCCUGAGGAAGCAAAGAGGGAACCAGAGAACAAGGCCGAGGGAGAGCUAAGCCAGACAACUGCACCCGACCAUUCAAAUGAGUUAAAACCUCCACUUGUUAGUAUACGAAAAGACGUGGGUGUGAGUGGACACAGGCGAAUAGGAGGUCACAACCCUAAAAGCACCAAUCACACGGCAUCGGCUGCUCUUCCUUCCUCAACCGCCAGUACAACUGUUUCAGGGAAACGGACGAUGGUACUCUCCAACGAAGCCAGGAAAGAGAUGGCCAAGCAGGCCAGGGCUGCCAAGGAUGAGCGUCGGGCCAUGCUAGACGCCCGCCACAAGUACCUCAUAGCCAAGCUUGUGGACAGUGUGAGCCUGGGGGAGACUGAGGUGGAGGAGGCCUUUAUAUCGGAUGACAAGGUAAGGGGGGGGGUGGGGGGUUUGGUCAGACAUUCACAAAAUGCAUCCAAACUCCAAUAAUACUAACUGUCAUAAACUCUGCUCUAGUUCAAUUUGAUAGAGGAAUUUUUUGCGCCUAAUGGAUCAAAGAGGUUGAUAUUCUUCUAUCAAGACAUAAAAGUGGUAAACUGAUCUUUCUCUUCAUUGUCAUCAUGAAAAAAAUGGAGUGAAGAACAUCAGUCCUAUAAUAUUACAUGAUGGUACAUUCCCCAUCUCCCUUUUUUCAGCCUUCAUCAAACCACCCAACCUGGGCAGACACAGUCAGUUCUACCCCCGGGCAGAAAAAGCUCUUUGUCACCACUGGAACUUCAGAGGUAACGUUUUGCUGCAGAACUGAUUUAAGUCUGUGUUGGUUCUACUUUUAUUUGAAAUCCUCAUCCGGAACUUCUUCCAUUUGAUAAUUAUCUCUGACAAAAGUUUCUAGCCCUAAAAGGGGUGUAACGGUCGUCGUAUAUACUGGACCAAGGCGCAGCGGGCUGAGUGCUCAUUUUAUCUUUUAUUUAGAACACUUAAUUAACAAAACAAGAAAACGUACGAACAAACAGUAUUGCAGGCUAACACAGCAGUGCAACAACAACUUCCCACAAAUCCCAUGACAAAAACACCCCUCUUAAAUAAGACCUUCAAUUAGAAGCAAUGAAGAGCAGCUGCUUCCAAUUGAAGGUCAACCCCAUCAACUAAACAUAGAAAUAGAAAGACUAGACUAGAACAUAGAAAUAUACUAACAGAACAUUAACCAAAACCCCGGAACACUCUAAACAAACACCCCUCUACAUAAACACAUAUCCCAACAAACCCCGAACCACAUAAAACAAACACCCCCUGCCACGUCCUGACCAAACUACAAUAACAAAUAACCCCUUUACUGGUCAGGACGUGACAGUACCCCCCCCCCCCCCCCAAAGGUGCAGACCCUGGAUGCACCUAAACAAAAAAAAACACAAAAAAUAACCCCCCCCCCAAAAAAAAUUAGCCCAAACUAAAGGGAGGGAAGGGAGGGUGGCCACCGUCACCGACGGUUGUUGUGCUACACCCCCCCCUCCCCAACCCACCUACUAUGGAGGUGGCUCAGGUUCCGGCCUUACUCCCCCACCUAACCUGUCCACCCCCGCUAAAUAAUUAUUGAAUGUUACCCUUCCCGAAGUCUCUGUGCUAUGGCGCAUCGCUGAAGACCUCGGGCUGAUGUGCGUUGCUGGAGACCUCAGACUGAUGCGCGUCGCUGGAGACCUCGGGCUGUAGGGCGACUCUGGCUGCGCCGAUUCUGGACUGUAGGGCGACUCUCGCUGCGCUGGUUCCGGACUGUAAGGCGACUCUCGCUGCGCCGAUUCCAGAUUGUAGGGCGACUCUCGCUGCACCGACUCCGGACUGUAGGCCGUCUCUCUCGGCUCCGGACUGUGGACCGUCUCUCUCGGCUCCUGACUGUGCGCCAUCUGUCUCGGUUCCUGACUGUGGGCCGUCUCUCUCCGCUCCUGACUGUGGGCCGUCUCUCUCGGCUCCUGACUGUGGGCCAUCUCUCUCGGCUCCUGACUGUGGGCCGUCUCUCU
rnacentral:lncRNA from 8 species